CUAGCCAAGGCCUACGUGGAAGUACCAAUAAGUAUGCUCAGGCUUCCUGUCGUAAAGAAAAUAUUGGAAAAAAUGUCUGUUGGCCCUUCAUGCACCUGUCCAUAUCUCUGAUGGGGGUGGCCCUACAGACCAAAUUAGGGAACAUGAGAUUGAGGCUUCUCUUAAAAACACCGUCAAUAUCCAUUACCACCAACUUGCUUUGUCAGAAGAUCCUAGUGAUACCAUGGAAGAGGGUCUCCAGUUCUCGAAGCUCGUGCAACCGGAAUCUCGCUGCUCGCGGUGGUGGAGAAAUCUUAAGGGUAAAAAGUAAUCUGGCAGCUGUGAGAAAGCCCAUGACGGGAAUAUUGAGGUCCCAUGUGUCAAAAAGAUAAGCGCGGCUGCAGUUGCUUCCCCAUGACGGGAAUAGAGUGAGGCCAUGAUGGGUUACAUCGUGGGGACCCCUCGCUUAGCCUAAGACAGGGACCACUGCCACUAAUGCGCUUUGAACAUGGAGGCCGACCUCAUAGCCUAAGACAGGCCUCUCACCUGCUAUUUUAAAUAGAAAAGGGGGACAUGUUGGAAGCCAGCACCUGGUAGUGGGCCCCUAACCCCGUGAAAACACCAAACCGCAAGCAGCUUGUUCCGGGACAAACCGUAUCAUAACAUGUUUUCGUCAACAGAUGUACUAACCGCAAAAUGUUGCCAUACCGCCCUGGAAAGUUCCGGAGGCCUAUUUUUUCUUUAGCCCCUCCCCACUUUUACCCUAUAUAAGCUUGGAACGCUCAAAAAUAAAAUUAGACCUUGCCUACCA